ensembl:lncRNA
AUGCAUUGUGAAUACUCUCAGCCCCACUGUAGCACCUUCUCCAUAAAUAGUACAAUGACUGCUUUGGGAGGCAGCAAGCAGAUCUCCCCUCCUGUACAACAUCAUCAUAAUCAAGUCCCACUGUGGAAUCCCCCUCCUAUGGAUCAUCAACCUCCUGACAGCAGUGAGGAGGCUGGUGAGGAAUUCCUGAGAUGCAUUGCAGCCAAUAAGCCUCUUCCAGACUAUCUCAAAGGAAACAUGGCAGACAACCUGGCUGAGGCCUUUAACUCCACAAAUGUCCUGAAAGACAUCCUCAAAUCAAACCCUGAGUUCCAGAAGCAUGCGGCCAGGAGCCGUAGUCGAAGCCGUGGGAAGUCUCGUGUGAAGAGUCCUGCACGAAGCAACAGCCGAGCACGAAGCAGAGUAAGGAACAAAAGCCGUGAGCGGGCCAAGAGCCGGGCCAGGAGCAGAAGCAGGAGCCGGGCCAGGAGCAGAAGCAGGAGCCGGGCCAGAAGCAGGAGCAAGAGCCGGGCCCGAAGGUCCAGGUCACAGAGUAGCAGCAGUGAAAAAAGUCCUGGCAAAGACUCCCAGAGAAAGGGUUUUAGCGGCAAUACCAGUCUGACAAGGAAAAGCCUGUUGGAAGGACUGAAGCUGGUCAUGAAAAGCAAAGAGCUGGAAGAGCGGUUGCCAACCCUCAAAGAUGCCAUCCUCACUAUUCAGGCCUCAGAUAAAAGCAAAAAAGUGGAUUGUGUGCCUAACGAGCAGAGACAUCGGCCGUGCAACAGUAAUGAGAACUCAACAUCGUUGGAAAAUGACAAUAUGGUCCUUCCCCAUGACCGAGUAGGCAGUGACUUUUCUUGGCUCCAGGUGCAGAGUCAGGAGGACUCUGCAGUCCUGAAAGCAGAUGUGCUUGAGGAUGAAGAGUCAUUUCUGUAUGGGAAUGAAGACACAAGAGGAAAAGAGGCCAAAAAAUCCUCCACCACACUCUUUACACCAUUUCCCCAGAUCGGAGAGCUUGCCAAACCACGGGCGAUGGCUCAUUCAGGCAGUCAACAUCAUCAGAAGUCCAGAUUCAGCACUUUUGGGGGUCCGCUUGAUCUGAAGCAGCCUCAAAUGACUUCCCCUAGUGUAGCCUCUGCCAAUCUGGACAGCAUUGAGUAUGAGAAGAUCAGGAACAUAUUAGAAAGUCUGGGCAAAGCAGACGUCAGCGAGAUCAUGGAUAAGAUGCAGGGGCUUAAGGAAGGGAAGCAACCGUCUCCUGCACGUCCUGCUGCAGCCUUGGCAUUGCCAGCACUGAGUCACCCCAAUGUGCGUCACGCUCUGGAGUCCUUACAGUCAUUGAUCAAAGUUACCAAAGAAAGGCGUGAAAAACGUGAUGCCAGUGUCACAUCUCAGACAUUCUCUGAUAGAUACAAGGCAGGAGACAAUGAGGAAACAAGAAACAAAAAACAAGCCAGAAUAAGACAAAUGGAAUCUUUGAUGAAAGAACUGGAAGGACUGUUGAAACAGGAUGGGUUGAGUUUUCUGAGUCCAGUAAUUGGGUUUUACUGCCAGAAAUGUGAAGAGUUCAUUGGAGAUCUGAAUAGUGCUGAAAACCACGCAGCCAUCCACUGCCAUAGUAACUCCAGCAGGAAACUGCCAAAGGACAAGCCCGCUGAAGACAUCAAGGGAACCUCUCGCCAUUUUAGCAACAGCACUGAGCACCCACACCCAUCAGACAGGAUGGCAUAUCACAUGGACCCCAGCUGGAGAGACGAAAGAGAUCAAAAAAGCGAGCGCCACAAAGACAGCAGAAGCCAAGGGGCGGGGCAGAACAGCGGCUCCUUGAAAGAGGAGAUGAGGACGGAGAGGAUGCUCAUAACGGUGUCCCGGGGACUGACUCCUCCUCCAGACGCCAGGGUCAAGGAGCAGAUGAACAAUGGGCCGAGCAAAGUCAGUGUGGAGGACAAGGCUGGCCAGGGAAAACCACCCAACGACAAAAGAGAUGAAGAUGAAAGCAGUGAUAUUAGAGGUGACGACAGAGGAAAAAAGCACAUAGGAAAAUCACCGAAAAAGAAGAAGGAAAAAAAGAAGAAGAAGAAGAAGAAGUCCUAAUA